GAAAUUGGCAGAAACAUGUAAAUCAAAUACAUGAACUUCUAAGUGCCAACAGCGCAAAACUGUUAUAACUAUAUUUAAGUUCACAUCAUUUAGAAAUUAAUAGAAAAGGGAGGGGGAGAUACCAAAGGAGCAUUCAAACUCAUAGAUCGAAAAUAAACUGACAACGCUAUGGCUAACACAGAAAAAGACAAACAGACAAAUAAUAGUCCACAAGACACAAUAUAAAGGAUAAAAGACUUAGCAUCACGAAUCCCACCA
rnacentral:lncRNA from 1 species